UAUACAAGAAUAUCUUUGUGACCUUGGGGUACAGGAAGAGUUUUUAAGCAAGAUCCAAAAAGUGCCAAGCCAAAUAAAAGAUUGAUAAAUGUUUCUACAUUAAAAUUAAGAAAUCCUGGCUAUAAAAGGGCACUAUGAACAGAAUGAAAAGUCAAGCCACAGAGAUGAUGGUUGGAAUGCAUAUAAGCAACAGAAGGCUGAAAUCCAAAAUAAGCAGUAAGAAAGGCAGGCAACUGAGUCAAAAAAUGAGCAAUGACUUGAACAGGAAAUUCACAGAAAAUAUGGAAAUGCCAAAAAGCAUAUGAAAGAGUGCUCAAUUUUAUUUGUUAUCAGGGAAACCUAAAUUAAAAGCACGAGAUACCAAAUAUCUAAAACUAAGAAUGACAUUACUAAGUAUUGGUGCUGAUGUGAAGCAACUGGACCUCAUGCACUGCUGGGAGUGCAAAUUGUUAUGCCCACUUUGGAAAACAGUUUGACACUAUCUGAAGUUGAAAAUAAUGCAUUCUCUGUGACCCAGCUAUUCCAUUCCUAGGUAUAUACUUGUUAUGGUCUGAAUGUUUGUGUCUCCCUAAAAUUCAUAUGUUGAAAUCCUAACCCCCAAGGUGACAGUAUUAAGAGGUAGGGCCUUUGGAAGGUGAUUAGAUCAUGAAGUCAUAGCCCCCGUGAAUGGGAUUAGCACCCUUACAAUAAAAGAGGCUGAAGGAACUUCUUUGCUUGUUCUAGCAUAUAAUGACACAGUAAGAAGGUGCCAUCUAUGAAAGAAGCAGGACACCAGUCACCAAAUCUGCUGGUGCCUUGAUUUUGGACUUCUCAGCCUCCAGAACUAUUGCAGAUCACAGAACUUUAUUAAGAUGAAAUCACUGCGAAUUACACAGAAGCUACCAGACUAAGCCAAAAUCCAUGAGGUUCAUGUGAACUUACAGUUACAGAAAUAAGAAACAAAUGGCAUAUCCAAAACCAUAAGGAAAUAUCCUGAUGCCCAGGAUCUCCAGACUCGGUCAGCAUCUUUCGCUCGUCCUCCAGUCCUAUGUCUGGCUACGGUUCUGGAUUCAACACGAGCAGCAACUGCGGCACCUAAUCCACUUCAGGAUCUAGAAGGACUUGUUGACAAAUCCUGUUCACCAGAAAUUACAGCAGAGAUUGUAGACAGGAAGCUGCAGAGGAAAGAGGCACAAUGAGAAAUCAAGCUUGGACACAUUUGGUAGACUCCUAUAGUUAGAAUCUUACUGUGGCUGUCAUUGGGACCACACUGGAAGAAGGUGGUGGAACGGGAAUCCCCUGUGGAAAAAUGACUUUUGUUGUUGUUGUUGUUGUUGAGACAGAGUCUCGCUCCAUCACCUAGGCUGGAGUGCAGGGGCGCAAUCUCAGCUCACUGCAACCUCUGCCUCCCAGGUUCAAGCGAUUCUCCUGCCUCAGCCUCCUCAGUAGCUGGGACUACAGGCACCUACCACCACACCUGGCUAAUUAAGGUAUUUUUGGUAGAGGCAGGGUUUCUCCAUGUUGGCCAGGCUGGUCUUGAACUCCUGACCUCAAGCAAUCUGCCUGCCUUGGCCUCCCAAAAUGCAGGGAAAUACAGGCGUGAGACACUGCGCCCUGCCAAGAACUUUCAUUAUCAAAGGAAAUGCAGCAAAGGAGCUUCUUCCUCCCACCAAGCCAGUGACGGGUCUGUAUUCAAUGAAGUUGUCAUUCAAACCAGGACUGGGAAGCAACUGAUCUGUACCUUACCAUCAUAGGAAGCUCACCCCGUAGCACAGGGGAAACACUAGGAGGGCUGCAGGUUUGGAGUCUGUAGACUGUGCCACUUGGCUGCGUUUCCUUUCUUAGUCACUUAAUCAGUCUGAAGCUUAGGGUCCUCCUUAUAAUGUGAGGAUAUUAAUAGUUUCUCCUUUCCUGGGAUUUAUGUGAAGAUCAAGUGAGUAACAAAUGUGAUAAUACUUUAUUAACUGUUAAUCACACUACAAAUCUAAGGGUUUAUUACUGUGAUUUCUUUGUCUCACCUUUCCAUUCUCUUGCCUUGAAGGUUUUUUUUUCUUUUCUUUGAGACAGAGUUUCGCUCUUACUGCCCAGGCUGGAGUGCAAUGGCACGAUCUCGGCUCACUGCAACAUCCACCUCCUGAGUUGAAGCGAUUCUCCUGCCUCAGCCUCCCGAAUAGCUGGUAUUGCAGGCGCCCGGCUAAUUUUUGUAUUUUUUAGUAGAGACAGAGUUUCUCCAUGUUGGCCAGGCUGGUCUUGAACUCCUGACUUUGUUAUCCGCCCACCUCAGUCUCCCAAAGUGUUGGGAUUACAGGCGUGAGCCACCACGCUCGGCCUUUUUAAUACAUAUUUAUUUAUUUAUUUAUUUAUUUAUUUAUUUAUUUAUUUAUUCUUGCCUUGAAGGUCUUUAAACAUUCAUUCAUGGCCAGGUGCGGUGGCUGAUGCCUGUAAUCCCAGCACUUUGGGAGGCCGAGGCAGGUGGAUCACCUAAGGUCGGGAGUUCGAGACCAGCCUGACCAACAUGGAGAAACCCUGUCUCUACUAAAAAUAUACACAAAAAAUUAGCUGGAUGUGGUGGCG
rnacentral:lncRNA from 1 species